GACGAACGCUGGCGGCGUGCCUAAUACAUGCAAGUAGAACGCUGAAGGAAGGAGCUUGCUCUUUCUGGAUGAGUUGCGAACGGGUGAGUAACGCGUAGGUAACCUGCCUGGUAGCGGGGGAUAACUAUUGGAAACGAUAGCUAAUACCGCAUAAAAUUGAUUAUUGCAUGAUAGUCAAUUAAAAGGUGCAACUGCACCACUACCAGAUGGACCUGCGUUGUAUUAGCUAGUUGGUGGGGUAACGGCUCACCAAGGCGACGAUACAUAGCCGACCUGAGAGGGUGAUCGGCCGCACUGGGACUGAGACACGGCCCAGACUCCUACGGGAGGCAGCAGGAGGGAAGCUUCGGCGAUGGACGGAAGUCUGACCGAGCAACGCCGCGUGAGUGAAGAAGGGUUUCGGAUCGUAAAGCUCUGUUGUAAGAGAAGAACGAGUGUGAGAGUGGAAAGUUCACACUGUGACGGUAUCUUACCAGAAAGGGACGGCUAACUACGUG
rnacentral:rRNA from 1 species